rnacentral:rRNA from 1 species
GAUGAACGCUGGCGGCGUGCCUAAUACAUGCAAGUCGAGCGAACAGACGAGGAGCUUGCUCCUCUGACGUUAGCGGCGGACGGGUGAGUAACACGUGGAUAACCUACCUAUAAGACUGGGAUAACUUCGGGAAACCGGAGCUAAUACCGGAUAAUAUAUUGAACCGCAUGGUUCAAUAGUGAAAGACGGUUUUGCUGUCACUUAUAGAUGGAUCCGCGCCGCAUUAGCUAGUUGGUAAGGUAACGGCUUACCAAGGCAACGAUGCGUAGCCGACCUGAGAGGGUGAUCGGCCACACUGGAACUGAGACACGGUCCAGACUCCUCCGGGAGGCAGCAGUAGGGAAUCUUCCGCAAUGGGCGAAAGCCUGACGGAGCAACGCCGCGUGAGUGAUGAAGGUCUUCGGAUCGUAAGACUCUGUUAUUAGGGAAGAACAAAUGUGUAAGUAACUAUGCACGUCUUGACGGUACCUAAUCAGAAAGCCACGGCUAACUACGUG